AUCAUUCUAUGUACACUGCACACAAGUGAGGGCAUGGAUCUUACUCUGUGGAAGUUUGUACUUAUUUUUCUUGUGACUUUUGACUUUGUUACAGCAUCGGUUGAUCCUGAAUGUGUCGCUAAAGCGAAAAGUGGCGAUUGCCAAUUUUACAGAUGCUUUGAACAACAACGACAAUGCGGUUCCUCUGAGUAUCUUAUUGCAUAUGGCUACAAGUACUGUAACAGAAUAAAACUAUUCUCCUCUAGUUUUACAAAAGCUGGAAAAAGAUCGAUUGACUGUUUUAAGACUUGUUUAAGAAAAGCUCUGAUAGGAAAAUAUGAAGAAUCUUUGGGGCCAGGACAGAAAUGUAAUGAGUUGAAGACGUAUGCGUUUGACACACAUGUUAAAUGCCACCGGGAUUGUGCAUCCUGUGAUGUCUAUUUAUCAAACUUGUCGGCUUUGCGUAAAGUUUACAGUUUCUCAGAUCCUCUAACAUUAGAAGCUUGGAAACAAAUCUUAACGAUAGGAAAACAGUGCAAUCUUGGUUAACCAGGAACUAAUUAUGUAUCUAAUAAAAACAUAAAUUACUGCA